rnacentral:rRNA from 1 species
UACGAGGGGGGCUAGCGUUGCUCGGAAUGACUGGGCGUAAAGGGCGCGUAGGCGGUUGUUACAGUUGGGCGUGAAAUUCCAGGGCUUAACCUUGGGACUGCGUUCAAUACGUGAUGACUUGAGUUCGGAAGAGGGUCGUGGAAUUCCCAGUGUAGAGGUGAAAUUCGUAGAUAUUGGGAAGAACACCGGUGGCGAAGGCGGCGACCUGGUCCGAAACUGACGCUGAGGCGCGAAAGCGUGGGGAGCAAACAGG